CGCGGGAUGGAGCAGUUGGUAGCUCGUCGGGCUCAUAACCCGAAGGUCAGAGGUUCAAGUCCUCUUCCCGCAACCA
rnacentral:tRNA from 7 species